rnacentral:tRNA from 1 species
CUCCGUUUAGCUCAGUUUGGUAGAGCGCACCGUUUGGGACGGUGAGGUCGGCGGGUUCAAAUCCCUCAAUGGAGACCA